UCCAGAGGUGGCAAUCGUUGUUCGGAAUUACUGGGCGUAAAGGGCGCGUAGGCGGUCUUGUAAGUCCCGUGUGAAAGCCCCCGGCUCAACUGGGGAACGGCACGGGAAACUGCGAGGCUUGAGUUCGGGAGAGGGAAGCGGAAUUCCGGGUGUAGCGGUGAAAUGCGUAGAUAUCCGGAGGAACACCAGUGGCGAAGGCGGCUUCCUGGACCGAUACUGACGCUGAGGCGCGAAAGCUAGGGGAGCAAACGGG
rnacentral:rRNA from 1 species